GCCCAUUGAUAGGUGUUUUGUACUAUAAAGUGUUAGCUGUAAUUUCCAGCAAGGCAAGGGACUGCAGAUGACACAGCAGUCUCACCAUCAGGCUCAAGCCAAGUCAGACGCUGAAGAACCAAGGAACAAGAAAUGUUUGUUUUGAGGGAGCAGGGGAAAAAAAGAAGAGCCGUGCAUUACCUCAUAACACCCAAAAUUAUGUAACUUCUCCACAGGAUAAGAUCCGAUCCUACAGUAAAUAGAAAGGUGCCACUUAUUCAUCUGAAGAAGCAAAAGGAAAUGCUUUCAACCCGGAUUCCAGACACAGAGAGGAGCCCAGGUUUAAAAGCUCCUCCCUGCCAAGGACAGAGUGCCACUCAACUCCAUCUUUGCCCAUAAGUCUCCCUGGGGGACAUCUGGCAAUAGCUAGAGACAUUUGGGGAUGUCAAAACUAGGAAGGACGCUACUGCAUCAGGAAAGGAAGCAAGGGAAGAGUGAAAACGCUGGCUUGGAAUGAGCUCUGAUCAUGUCUACUCUCUCCUACUCCUACUUUUUCUUGGAGCUACAAAGAUAAAUUGUUUGAGUCUUUAGGAGAGCCUAACUCCUUAUUCAAGUAUUUCCUUGCUCAUGGAUGUGGAAAAAUUGCUUAAAUAAAAACUACUCAAAAGAAA